UAGGUUGUUUUUCAUUUGGUUUGUUCCGACACGCAACGCUGCUAGUCUAGUUCAGAGUGUUAGCUAACACAUGCUGUUGCGCCUUUUUUACACUGUUUCAAGCAUGUUGAAAUGUGUAUAGCUUCAGUACGUAGCAAAGCUUUACAUCUAGUGUUUUCUUACAAAACUAACGUUGUAUAUAGGUUGUUUAAAAUGAUUUUGUUUGUCUGAACAAGUAGCUGCUAGUCCAGUAGCUAGAGUGGCUAGCAAUUGUUAGCUAACACAUGCUGUUGUGCCUUUGUUACAGUAACUUACACACUGAGGUUAAGCAAUGUUGCUAGUUACAUUACAUGUAGAAAUGUAACUAGCUACAGUAGGUAUCCAAAGCUUACAUCUAGAAAGACUUCAGUAUAACUUAAAUUAUUUGGUGUUUUCUAACAAAGCAGAAUGAUGGUUGUUUAAAUUAUUUGUUUGUCAGAUCAAAGUAUGCUGCUAGUUCAGUUCACAAUGUAGCUACAGUGACUAGCAAGUGUUAGCUAGCACGUGCUGUUGCUACUGUACUUCUAGAUUUAAGGGGAUUAUGAUGAGUUAUUUAUCUGAAGUGCUGUACUUUUUAUGUUUGAGGACAGUGCUGUUCACUUGAAUCACUACACUGAAUGAGUACAUUUUAUUUUUUAACAAUUUCACUGUUCCACGUUUGGCUGAUCUUUUUUUCUUUUUCUACAGCAUAGCUACUGUAUAUUCCUAACGUUAACAAUGUGGUUUUGUUCACAUUUUCUUGCAGAUACCUUGACCGGAGCAUAACUGGUUAACUUCACACAAGAGACCUACUGUUGGACAAUCGUUUUGGCUUUAAAGGUAAAUGCAUUGUUAGUUACAAUGUCUAGUUACUGGGCCAAAAGGAGACGAAUAUUGAAAGGAGUUGAGAGGGACAAACAGGAAAUUGCAGCUGCAAACGAUGCUCUACUUGCUGUUAUUCCUGACUUUGACCAAGUAAAUCCUCCUGUAAAUGAACAUCAACAUGGAAUGGCUUCAACAAGCUAUUGGCCCCCAUUUAACCUCCGCAAAAAAGACAAAGGCAACAAUUUAGCCAUCCGCUGCACGCCUCCACACAGCACCUGGGAGAAACAUCAUUUUAAGUUUAUGAAGGGAGCAGAAUGUUGGCAAGAGGCGAUGAGAUAUUUGGUGCGCUUCCAAACAGGUUCUAGCGUUGAAACGACGGACGAUGACAAGAAGAGAAAGAGAAAGAGAAUCUCAAAUUCCAAGUACAGACCCCAGGCCUCUUCUGAUGAAGAGGAGUCUAGUCUUCCAGAUGCACCAGCAGUGCUGUCGUUUGGACAACCUCUUUUGAGCUUUGAAAACAUUGUUCCUGAUUUCCAGAGACUCCAGAAUGAAAAACAAGCCGUGAUGGAGGAGAACCAAGCCCUUAGGGAGGAGAACCAAGCUCUGAGGGAGGAGAACCAAGCUCUGAGGGAGGAGAACCAAGCUCUGAGGGAAAGCACUGCACGAGCAGCUUCGGAUGACAGCGGCUCACUUCAAGAGCAGGUGAAGCAAGUUGGGACAAUGUUGAAGACGUUUGCUCGCACUGGGCAAUCAGGUGCAGAUCAGACCUUAAUGCUGCGACGUCUUGGAGAGUUUGGCGAUGUUGUGCGUAGCAUGGACAACAAAAUGGACACUAUGCUGCAACAUUUCAGUGCCAAUGUGUCUGUUGGAGAGUUAUCCCUGCCAGGGGAUCUGUUACUCCCCCUAGACACCCAGGAAGAUUUGGCGUUGCUUGACAACAGUUUGAGGCAGGAUAAAGAGCUCCAGGAACGAUUUCUUCGGUUUUUGGCAAUCAAAUGUGGGAGGGACCUAAAGACAACCGUCUGGCGGAUGCUUCAAAGUAUCUUCUCUAAUCACCUUCCAUCAAUACAACCUGGACUGGAGUUGGGGAUAAAGCAUGUUUUAGAGACAUGUUCCUGA
rnacentral:lncRNA from 1 species